AAAAACGUAACAAGGUUUCCGUAGGUGAACCUGCGGAAGGAUCAUUG
rnacentral:rRNA from 2 species